rnacentral:rRNA from 1 species
UACGUAGGGGGCAAGCGUUGUCCGGAUUUAUUGGGCGUAAAGAGCUCGUAGGCGGCUCGUCGCGUCAGCUGUGAAAACCCGCGGCUUAACUGUGGGCUUGCAGCUGAUACGGGCGGGCUAGAGUUCGGUAGGGGAGACUGGAAUUCCUGGUGUAGCGGUGAAAUGCGCAGAUAUCAGGAGGAACACCGGUGGCGAAGGCGGGUCUCUGGGCAGUAACUGACGCUGAGGAGCGAAAGCGUGGGGAGCGAACAGG